UAAGUAACCCAGGAAUGUAUUAAAACAUACAUUUUACCUAAAACUUACUUUUGGUUGGGGCGACCAUGAAGAAAAAAAGAACCUUCAUAAGGAACGGAAAACUCCUAAAACACGAACGACAGUUCUAAUUAACAGAAUUUCUGACCACCUAGACCCAGCAUUAGCUGAUUAAUGAACUAAGUUACCCC
rnacentral:rRNA from 1 species